rnacentral:rRNA from 1 species
GUGGGGAAUUUUGGACAAUGGGCGCAAGCCUGAUCCAGCAAUGCCGCGUGCAGGAAGAAGGCCUUCGGGUUGUAAACUGCUUUUGUACGGAACGAAACGGUCCUGGUUAAUACCUGGGGCUAAUGACGGUACCGUAAGAAUAAGCACCGGCUAACUACGUGCCAGCAGCCGCGGUAAUACGUAGGGUGCGAGCGUUAAUCGGAAUUACUGGGCGUAAAGCGUGCGCAGGCGGUUAUGUAAGACAGAUGUGAAAUCCCCGGGCUCAACCUGGGAACGGCAUUUGUGACUGCAUAGCUAGAGUACGGCAGAGGGGGAUGGAAUUCCGCGUGUAGCAGUGAAAUGCGUAGAUAUGCGGAGGAACACCGAUGGCGAAGGCAAUCCCCUGGGCCUGUACUGACGCUCAUGCACGAAAGCGUGGGGAGCAAACAGGAUUAGAAACCCCGGUAGUCC